GUGCCAGCAGCCGCGGUAAUACGUAGGGCGCGAGCGUUGUCCGGAAUUAUUGGGCGUAAAGAGCUCGUAGGCGGCUUGUCACGUCUGCUGUGAAAACGCGGGGCUUAACUCCGCGCUUGCAGUGGGUACGGGCAGGCUUGAGUAUAGUAGGGGAGACUGGAAUUCCUGGUGUAGCGGUGGAAUGCGCAGAUAUCAGGAGGAACACCGAUGGCGAAGGCAGGUCUCUGGGCUAUAACUGACGCUGAGGAGCGAAAGCAUGGGGAGCGAACAGGAUUAGAAACCCGCGUAGUCC
rnacentral:rRNA from 1 species